AUAAAUAAUAAUUUAUUAAGAUUAAAACUUUUAUUGAGGUAUUAAUUUAAUAAUUUUAAUUUUAUAAGACUAGUUUUUUUUUUUAAAAUUUAUUGAACAUACCGGCGAAGUCAGAGUUGUGGAGGUUUGGGUGGUACUUUGUGACCACAUCGAUCAUAGCAACUAAACACACAGGGUAGUUUUUUUAUCUCCCAAUACAAGUGCACAUUUCCAAAAAUUACAUUUCAGAAUGCAUUUGAAUUUUACUGCUUCAAUGCUCGUGGCUAACAUGGUUGUCAUUAAAAUAAUUACUAGAACAACUUUACUUUCGCGGUUUGUAAUAACGGACACCAUUUCCUUCCUUUUCUCUAUUCACUUAAUUUAUUUUUUUCUAUGAUUUUCUCUACUUAAUUUAUAAACUUAAAAAUCGGAUUUUUCGAAAAAU
rnacentral:lncRNA from 1 species